rnacentral:lncRNA from 1 species
UGAGCAAAGAGUCACCCUCCAUCCUUUUUAUAAGCCCCCUUUAAGUACUGAAAAGCCGCAAUGAGGUCUCCCCGGAGCCUUCUCUUCUCCAGGCUGAACAUCCCCAGCUCCCUCAGCCAUUCUUCACAGGAGAGGCGCUCCAGCCCCUUGAUUACCUUCAUGGCCCUCUUUCGGACUGCUCUGACAGCCCCACAUCCUUCUCGUGCUGAGGGCAUCGAGCUGACUCCAAACCUUCCUUUUCCCGACGAAGGAGACGAAGGACUCCUUGAAACACAACAGCACAACACCUGCCUGCGCGCUGCCUGCCCAGCUUUCCCCCUCGCCAUCCUCCACCGGGUGACCCCAGCGCACAACCAGAGUCAAUAUUUGGCGUGACUCGGCGUGCAAACACAACCACGCCACGCCAAGCCAACGCCAAGCGCCGAACCGCUCUGCCGAGCGCCGAGGCAGCGCAGCGCCCAGCCGAGGGCAGGCUCCUGGACUCCUUUCCGAGCCGCUCUUGCUCGGUCUUGCCUCUGGGUGUCUUAAGCACGCCGCGGACGGCGGCCACGGCCGGGACACGGCGCUGGGGGGGAGCCGGGGGGCUCCCCCCUCUCCUCCCCUCCCCUCCCCUCCCCUNNNNNNNNNNNNNNNNNNNNNNCCCUCCCCUCCCCGCCCCGCCGUUCCGGGCCCCUCAGCGCCCGGUCCCUCAGGGCGGCCCCGCUCCCGCCCCGACCCCGUCUUGGAAAGCGCUGCCUCCGCGCCGUCCAACUUUAUAUUUGCCUUUAUUUUCCUCCCCCGGCUGCCAAGGGAGAGGUUUAUACACACAAUCAGAGCAAAUAGAAGGAGUUCAGCCGGAUCGCGUUUCACCGGCAGCCCCCCUUCCGAGGGGGCUUAACGGGGGGGAGAAGGAGCGAGCGGGGAGCGGCGGUGGCACGGCGGGCCAGCUCCGGCUCCUACCGGGAGCUGCCUUCCUCCCUCCUCCUCCUCCUCGUCAGCCCACCCGGCUCUCCGGGGAGCGCUUCCAGGCAGCGCCGGCAGCCCCGGGAAGCCGCCGGGGGCUGCCCCUGCCCAGAAGAGGCGACGCCGCACCGCCCGGACCCUCCCGCGGCCACCGCUCCGCCGCCCUUCCCGCUCGGCGGCGGCAGAAAGCAGCCGGCCCCCGGCCCCUUCCCCGCCCCAACACCGCCCCUUCCCCGCCGCCGCCCGAGCCUCAGGUUCCCGGUAAACCGGGGCCGGGGACCCGCCCGGAGGGAGCCGCGCCAGGGCCAUGAAUAUUUCAGCGCCUCCUCAGAGCGUUUNNNNNNNNNNNNNNNNNNNNNNNNNNNNNNNNNNNNNNNNNNNNNNNNNNNNNNNNNNNNNNNNNNNNNNNNGGUGGGGGGGGGGCUGUGCAGCAGCGACGCUCCCGAGGUUGCCAAGUGGACUUUUAUUGUUUUCCACCCACUUCCAAGUCGAUACUAUCUGCCGUCUCAUGUCCAUCCUAUAGCCUAUAUAAGCGGCUGCGCCGGCGAUGGAGUAGGUGGCGAAGGGACGGGAGGGGGGCGGGCGGGCCGACCGCCGACAACUCGGACUGUUCUGCUGCUGCUGCUGCUCCUACUGCUCCUGCUGCUCCUACUGCUCCUACUGCUGCUGCUCCUACUGCUGCUGUCCCUGCUGCUGCUGCUGCUGCCCGGGGAGAGCGGCCCCCGCGGGGAAGACAGCUCGCCUUGCGGCACGGAGAGCCAGCGGAAUAGGAAGCCUCCCCCGCCGGCAGCGGAUCGUUCCUCUUCAUCUGCUCGCUCGCCCUUCGGGUCAGGCUGCGAUGAGCGGACUGAGGUCUCCUGGGCUGCUGGGGCUGGUGCUCUUAAUGCUCUCGGCGGGAUAUUGCAAAGAGAAGAGCGACUCCGCGGAUCUGAAGGACAGGCAAAGCCUCUUAAAUCUUAUCAUGGAGAUCAUUCAGGAACUGAAGAGGUACCACCUGGAGAAGGACAGUGGGGUGCAGUACUUCUCCAAACACGACUAUAA